GCCUGGCUGGCUCAGUCGGUGGAAUGUGUGACUCUUGAUCUUGGGGUCGUGAGUUCAAGCCCCACGUUGGGCA
rnacentral:tRNA from 1 species